rnacentral:rRNA from 1 species
UACGUAGGGUGCAAGCGUUGUCCGGAAUUAUUGGGCGUAAAGAGCUCGUAGGCGGUCUGUCGCGUCUGCUGUGAAAACUCGGGGCUUAACCCCGGGCCUGCAGUGGGUACGGGCAGACUAGAGUGCGGUAGGGGAGACUGGAAUUCCUGGUGUAGCGGUGGAAUGCGCAGAUAUCAGGAGGAACACCGGUGGCGAAGGCGGUUCUCUGGGAAUUACCUGACGCUGAGGAGCGAAAGCAUGGGGAGCGAACAGG